UUCAGACACGUUGCCAGAACGUGUGUCUGCCCUGGCAGCAGCUUUCUUGUGAAUUAAUGAAACAUCAACGCUGCACUACCAGCCAGAUUGGAGUAGUGUGUUUCCAGGAGAGAGCCUGAACUGGCAGAUCCUCAGCUGCUACAAAUCAAUUAAGUUCCCUUGAUUCCAGCACAGAGGGCCACCAACUUACAGCUGCAGAAGUUUCUUUUAGUGACAGCAUCCCUCAUUUCUGCUCCAGGCAGCUGAAACUGUACCUUUCCCUGAGACCAUCACAUCAGGGUUUGCUUGGGUGUCCUGUGGCCAGCAGAGAAUGCUGAGAAGAGAAACCUGCUCUCUGACCAUGCAGACCCUGGGCAAGCCCUGACAACUUUUGCUGUGUCUUGGAUUCACAGGUGGUCUCUAGUUGGGCUGCAAUGUGAGCAUGAGGCUGGAGCUGGACUGACCAAGUGACCUGCUCUGGGCAGGUGGCAGCCACAGAUGCCCCCUCCAGGUGUUA